UACGUAGGGUGCGAGCGUUAAUCGGAAUUACUGGGCGUAAAGGGCGCGUAGGCGGCCUGCUAAGUCGAACGUGAAAUCCCCGGGCUCAACCCGGGAACUGCGUCCGAUACUGGCAGGCUUGAAUCCGGGAGAGGGAUGUGGAAUUCCAGGUGUAGCGGUGAAAUGCGUAGAUAUCUGGAGGAACACCGGCGGCGAAGGCGGCAUCCUGGACCGGUAUUGACGCUGAUGCGCGAAAGCCAGGGGAGCAAACGGG
rnacentral:rRNA from 1 species